rnacentral:rRNA from 1 species
GUGAGGAAUAUUGGUCAAUGGGCGAGAGCCUGAACCAGCCAAGUCGCGUGAAGGAUGAAGGUUUUAUGAAUUGUAAACUUCUUUUGCAGGGGAAUAAAGUACGGUACGUGUACCGUUUUGUAUGUACUCUGCGAAUAAGGAUCGGCUAACUCCGUGCCAGCAGCCGCGGUAAUACGGAGGAUCCAAGCGUUAUCCGGAUUUAUUGGGUGUAAAGGGUGCGCAGGAGGGUUGAUAAGUCAGCGGUGAAAGUUUGCAGCUUAACUGUAAAAUUGCAGUUGAAACUGUCGAUCUUGAGUGCAAAUGAGGUAAGCGGAAUGUGUUGUGUAGCGGUGAAAUGCUUAGAUAUAACACAGAACACCGAUUGCGAAGGCAGCUUACUGGGAUGCAACUGACGCUCAUGCACGAAAGCGUGGGGAUCAAACAGGAUUAGAUACCCGAGUAGUCC